rnacentral:rRNA from 3 species
UUGACCUCGGAUCAGGUAGGGAUACCCGCUGAACUUAAGCAUAUCAAUAAGCGGAGGAAAAGAAACCAACAGGGAUUGCCCCAGUAACGGCGAGUGAAGCGGCAAGAGCUCAAAUUUGAAAGCUGGCUCCUUCGGGGUCCGCAUUGUAAUUUGCAGAGGAUGCUUCGGGAGCGGUCCCCAUCUAAGUGCCCUGGAACGGGACGUCAUAGAGGGUGAGAAUCCCGUAUGGGAUGGGGUGUCCGCGCCCGUGUGAAGCUCCUUCGACGAGUCGAGUUGUUUGGGAAUGCAGCUCUAAAUGGGUGGUAAAUUUCAUCUAAAGCUAAAUAUUGGCCGGAGACCGAUAGCGCACAAGUAGAGUGAUCGAAAGAUGAAAAGCACUUUGAAAAGAGAGUUAAAAAGCACGUGAAAUUGUUGAAAGGGAAGCGCUUGCGACCAGACUCGCUCGCGGGGUUCAGCCGGCAUUCGUGCCGGUGUAUUUCCCCGCGGGCGGGCCAGCGUCGGUUUGGGCGGUCGGUCAAAGGCCCUCGGAAGGUAACGCCCCUAGGGGCGUCUUAUAGCCGAGGGUGCAAUGCGACCUGCCUAGACCGAGGAACGCGCUUCGGCUCGGACGCUGGCAUAAUGAUCGUAAGCGACC